rnacentral:misc_RNA from 1 species
GAUGAAGAACGCAGUGAAUCGCGAUAUGUAGUGUGAUCUGCCUCUAGUGAAUCAUCAAAUCUUUGAACGCAUCUUGCACCCUUUGGUAUUCCAAAGGGUACGCCUGUUUCAGUAUCAUUAUAACCUUUCUCCCCAAGGCUUUUUGGCCAAGGAGGGAAAGAGCAUAACCGGUGGCCCAGCGGUCUCCCUUCAGGGGGAUUGUCUCGGCUGGAAUGACUGUUGCAAUGGUGGGCCAAAUGGUCUUCCGCACUUGAUAAAUGUACUUUUAUAAAGAGCGGGACCGGUCUGCCGAAAGUUGUAACUAAACCCUUUACCUUUGAUCUGAAAUCAGGCGGGAUUACCCGCUGAACUUAAGCAUAUCAAUAAGCGGAGGA